rnacentral:rRNA from 1 species
GACGUAGGGCGCGAGCGUUGUCCGGAUUUAUUGGGCGUAAAGAGCUCGUAGGCGGCUUGUCGCGUCGACUGUGAAAUCCCGCGGCUCAACUGCGGGUCUGCAGUCGAUACGGGCAGGCUAGAGUUCGGUAGGGGAGACUGGAAUUCCUGGUGUAGCGGUGAAAUGACGCAGAUAUCAGGAGGAACACCGGUGGCGAAGGCGGGACUCUGGGCCGAUACUGACGCUGAGGAGCGAAAGCGUGGGGAGCAAACAGG